GGGCUGUGACAGUGCUGCACUCACCAUCUCCAUUCUUCUCGUGUCCCUUUCCAUCAUGAGCCUUCACCAUUUCACACCUCAUCUUGAUCGUCUCCAAGGAGCUGGUGCUAUAUCGAUGUUUCUACCUGAUAUCCUGAUCCUGAUCACGAUCGUGUCCCUUUUGGCCGCACAGUCUUAUAUGACUGCGCUGUAUGCGCAUCCAUCUUUCGUUCAUUGGUCACAGUGGAAAAAAGAAAAAUGGAUAGGGAGGGGGUGCAUUUGCACAGGUUUUCCUCGCUUCUAACAGGCUAUGUGGGCUCUUCUGUGCGAUUAAGGAAAUACAAAUACCUGAACCAGACUCAAAGGAACAGAUCAAGAAAUUAUAUUGGGUACUUGUUAUCCAUUUUAGUUGCCUUAGUAGCCGGCAUUUAAUGAAUACAUCACAGUAUUUGUAUCUCUUGUUUGAUGGACUGAUCAACAUGAUUUAUUUUUUUUGUAUUGACUGGAAAUAGAUUUUCUUAGUCAACUCUCACACCCAAACAUUGUGCAAUACUAUGGAAGUAAUCUGGUAAGUUCAAUUUCAUAA